GUCUUGGUAUUAAAUGAAAAGGCUUAGUUACAGAUCGUUUGGACUCAAUAUUUCGAGUUAAAAUCUUGCGGCAACUGUUUCUCACGUAACACUGCAAACUAUAUUUAGCGCUAUUUUGAUCUGUCGUUAUUUAAUGACGCCAUAAUACAUGUGAUGUCACAAUGUUUCCGUUAAGACCUCAUGUGGAUUUCUCACUGAUAAAAGGUUUUCACUG
rnacentral:lncRNA from 1 species